GGCGGCGGGAGCAGAGUGGGACCGGUGCCUCAGAGGAACCGGGACCGGGACCGGCUUCGGCCUCUCCUGGCGGGGCCAUGGGGAGCCCCUGUGUCCCUCAGGCGCAGGAAACCGGUGCUGGUAGAGGCGGCUCCACAGCUGCGCCUUCCCCCGCCGUGAUCUGGCGAGGCUCCCUCAGGGCCGGUGCCGCUCUCCGCCGGCCCCGGCGCUGAGCGGCUGCGGCGGGAGCACCGGAGCGAGCCUGGCAGUGGAAAAAAAAUGAAGUGACCAGGAUGGUGUGACUUCAGAAAGGAAGGGUGAUCCCACAGAAAAAGGCUGCCCAAGAAGCUUCAGCCCCCUUGCUAACUAGGCAGCCCUGAGCCAAGGCAGACCCGGAGGAGCCCAGCCCAGGUGAGCUGCAGUGCUGGGAGCUGCCAGCCCAGCCCAGGUGAGCUGCAGUGCUGGGAGCUGCCAGCCCUGCCCCAGCUCGUGUUGCAGGCGUGGCUGCAGUGCCACGGCUGUGUCAUUCGGUGGCAGACAGCAACAGGCGAGGUCUUCCCUGGUGCUCUGAGCCCUGUGAGCUCUCAGGAUUGCUCAACAACCUGACACUUCCUGUUCCCUUCCUGCUCUCUUGCCUUUAAUGGGGAAUGGUGGCGGGUGGACGCUGUCCUUCAGUCCCUCCCUUCAUCAGGGACACCUUUUGCAAUGCCAGCUUGCUCCAAGCCCUGUGCACAGGUGUCCCUGUACCCAAAUGGUGCUGUGUGUCACUGUCCCUUCUUGAGGGACACAGAAACCGAGUGAGAGCAGCUCUGGGCAUGCAGAGAUGGUGACCCUGAGCUUUCAGUGAGUGACUCUGGCUCUGCUGAAUGGGAAACCUCAUUAAAUGGCCAUUACAGGCCAGAGGGGCCUCAGUGGUGCCAAGUGAGCCCCUUAAUUGGUCAAAGUCACUGGCUUUGGAACAGAAUGUUGAUGAGGUUGUGGGGAUGUGGUUAUGCUUGAGGAUGUGGCUCUUUUAUUUAAAUUUCUUGACUUAUUUUAACCCUGCAAUCCAUGUUUGGGUUUUUUUAUCAGGCUUUCCUCACUCCAGGGCUCCUGCGUGGGCACUGAGUGCUAAUGAGUAUCUCUUCAGAACUCCCUGUGUGAGGCACAGCAGAGCCAUGACCCUUUUCCUGAUGGCAUUUACUGGAACUGCCCUUCCCCAAGCAGCCCUCCAGGGCCACGGGUGUUGCUUUGCUGAAGGAAAAACUGGCUCUCAGCUGUGGAAAACGUGAAUGUUUUACAUAAAAAUGGUUUAGAGAGAAAUUAAAAAUCUCUCUGCACAUAGCACAGCCCGUCAUCAUCAAGGACUGGUUUAUGUCAUGGCUUUAAAGGCUGGAACAAGCUCAGAUUUUUUUUUUUUUCCUGCACUAUUAAUAGCUUGGCUCUGCACCAAGGUUGGCAAACUCACCUUGGAUUUUUAGGGAGUGAUGGAAUAACCCAGAGCAGGCUCCAGCUAUCCUGCUCUUAAAUUAUCCCUUCCCUAAUCUUCCCCCAGCCAGAUAAUUUUCCAAAACCCUUCUGAUGUCGUGCCAAAGAGCUUCUCCUAAAUUUGUGCCAUGUCCUCCUGGACUGAAGGGAAUCCCUGUGUCAAAGUUUCCUUGUGAACCCUGAUAACAGAGCCUUGAAAUGUGGUUUCAUUUUAUAUUUCAUCUUUAUUUCCUCUGAGUUGAGAAAACUCUUGAGACAAUCCCAAGACAAUGAGGGCAGCAGAGUCUGGAUGGCAAGGGUUAAUUAGCUGAUUAGUACUGACUUUAUUGCUCCCUUUUCUUGCCUGUUUUUCAACUUUUCUGACGUCCUGGGCCCUAUUUUUUUAUUUGCAGAUUAUGCCUUGAGCUGCAGAACGUCUGACAAACUGAGAACUGGUUGGCAGCUUCCACGUCUGAUGGCUUGGAGAUUCCUAAAACUUGAUCAUCUGUGUUUUCUCUACAUGGUUAAGAAGGAUUUAAAUAAAAAAAAAACUAAAUAAAGAUGCCACCUACAAGACUGAAA